AUGCCUAAGCUUCCUAGAAAAGCUCAUGUACAUAACACAGACCAAACAAGCCAACUGAAUGAGCGGUGGCAAACAGGCACCGUGCAGUCGUGUCUCAGGAGGGCGCUGAACCCAUUACAUUCAGAGAUGCUGGCUGCUAAAGCUGCACUUCACUCGGCGUCAGAUUUAGGAAUGGGCAAGGUCUACUUGGAAACUGAUGCUCUGUUGUUGAAGGAAGCGCUAGAUGAUACCUGCCUUGGUGUUGUGGCGGACUGCUUGAAAGCUUUUAUCAUGUGUAAUUUCAUUGAGUGGCAAGAUUGUGCACUGCUCUAG
rnacentral:rRNA from 1 species